rnacentral:rRNA from 1 species
GACGAACGCUGGCGGCGUGCCUAAUACAUGCAAGUAGAACGCUGAAGCAGGGCCUUUCUUCUCCGGAUGAUUGGCGAACGGGUGAGUAACACGUAUGUAACCUGCCCUUUAGCGUGGGAUAACUAUUGGAAACGAUAGCUAAUACCGCAUAACAGUUGAUGUUGCAUGAUAUCUGCUUGAAAGUUGCAAUUGCAUCGCUACCAGUUGGACCUGCGUUGUAUUAUCUAGUUGUUGAGGUAACGGCUCACUAAGGCGACGAUACAUAGUCGAACUGGGAGGGGGGUUGGCCAAACUGGGAACGAGGCCCGGCACAGAGUGCUACGGGAAGGCGCAGGAGGGAAACUUGGGCCAUGGAGGGAAGUCUGAACGAGCAAAGCCGGGGGAGGGAAGAAGGGUCUCGGAUCCUAAAGACCUGUUGUAAGGGAAAAAAGAGAGGGAGAGUGGAAAGUGCACGUCGUGACGGUAGCUUAUCAGAAAGGGACGGCUAACUACGUG